UACGGGGGGAGCAAGCGUUGUUCGGAUUUACUGGGCGUAAAGGGCGCGUAGGCGGCCACCGCAAGUCGGUUGUGAAAUCUCUGGGCUUAACCCAGAAAGGUCAACCGAUACUGCGGGGCUAGAGUGCAGAAGGGGCAACUGGAAUUCUCGGUGUAGCGGUGAAAUGCGUAGAUAUCGAGAGGAACACCUGCGGCGAAGGCGGGUUUCUGGUCUGCUCUUGACGCUGAGGCGCGAAAGCUAGGGUAGCAAACGGGG
rnacentral:rRNA from 1 species